UACGGAGGGUGCAAGCGUUAUCCGGAUUCACUGGGUUUAAAGGGCGCGUAGGCGGCCGAUCAAGUCGGGGGUGAAAGCCUGUGGCUCAACCACAGAAUUGCCUUCGAUACUGGUUGGCUUGAGACCGGAAGAGGUAAGUGGAACUGCGAGUGUAGAGGUGAAAUUCGUAGAUAUUCGCAAGAACACCAGUGGCGAAGGCGGCUUACUGGUCCGGUUCUGACGCUGAGGCGCGAAAGCGUGGGGAGCAAACAGG
rnacentral:rRNA from 1 species